UUUCUGCAUUUAGGGUUCAUAAAUGAACCCAUGAUACAACAACACAUAAGGCUGAUGAGUGAGUAAAGAGACUCGGGGAAAGGCACAGAAGACUUGUGUUUACAAAUUUCAAAUUGGGACAGAGAAAGCAUGGGAAGGCGGAAACAGAGGCAUGGAGAAGUCACAGCCAACAGAUACUUUUUCUUCUCCCCAGGAACUAAGUUUAUUUUUGAAACAGGACUGGAAACAACUGUUCUCUAUAAAACAACCUAGUAAAACAGAGCUAUCAAGUAUACUGUUUCUGCAUAUGGGUGUCAUUAUGCAUACCGAAUAUCUCCCUUUUUGUCUUCGGUACCACUGUGAGAGCUGCGAUUUAUUGCUUCUUUCCAUUGUUGAUGGCUCAUCUGAAAAGAAGACUGUAAA